GCCUACUUAGCUCAGUGGCCAGAGCGUUGGUUUUCGGCGCCAACGGUCGCAGGUUCGACCCCUGUAGUAGGCU
rnacentral:tRNA from 1 species